CACGUAGGGACCAAGCGUUGUCCGGAUUCAUUGGGCGUAAAGAGCUCGUAGGCGGUUCGAUAAGUCGGGUGUGAAACCUCCAGGCUCAACCUGGAGACGCCACCCGAUACUGUCGUGACUAGAGUCCAGUAGGGGAGCGUGGAAUUCCUGGUGUAGCGGUGAAAUGCGCAGAUAUCAGGAGGAACACCGAUGGCGAAGGCAGGUCUCUGGGCCGAUACUGACGCUGAGGCGCGAAAGCGUGGGGAGCAAACAGG
rnacentral:rRNA from 1 species